GUGCAUGUGAUGAAGCAAAUCAGUAUGAAUAAAGUUGUGAUACUGUAAACGCUUUCUGAUGUA
rnacentral:snoRNA from 1 species